rnacentral:snoRNA from 1 species
AAGACUAUACUUUCAGGGAUCAUUUCUAUAGUUUCUGACUUGAGAAAUGUGUUUCUAGAGUGUGGUCUCGCCAACCACGAUGAUGAGUUGUGAUAUUCCCUUGUGAGCAUGAAGCUGAUAGAUACUAAUGAUUUGUUUCAUAUAUUGUCUGUCAUUGAUGAUUGUUCAUUGCUUCCUGGAGGAGCAGUGAAAGAGGGAAUAUGUUCAGAGUGGU